CAGAGAUGGGGAUUUCAAGGAUAAAGAACAGAGUGAAGUUCUCGUCUUAGCCCUCUCGGAUGGAAAUCUCUGCCCUGGAGGUGACUUGCCCGGAGCAGCAGCUAGCAGUGGAUCCAGCUUUGAUGGCCACGAGGCCAGGGCUUUCCCCCUCAGACCCUCUGGAGGGCAUCUCGAAUACCAAAUGAGGAGACAUUCUAGACCAAUAUGAGGGUGGGAGUUCCUGGGCUCUGAGGAGGUGAAGCAGUCCUCACAUAUCCAACAAAUACCUGGAGAAAUGACUAAGAAGCAUAUCUCACCCAAGCCAAGGUUCCGACCAGGUAGCCGAUCAGACACAGGUAAGUAAGGUCUGGUCUCCUCAGAGCAGAAGGUGCCUCCCAACAUGGCUUUUCUGGGGCUGGCUCCUAUAGCAGUGGUUGUAACUCAGUCCUCAUGCCCUGAACCAAGAUCUAAGGGCAGCAGAGAUUCAGACCUUGGACACAGCUUGGUCAUCUGGCCCUGCCUUUUUAGGGGGUUAGCUGGGUUGGUCUAGGGACAGACUAUCCUGUCCUGACUUUCUUCCCUCUCCUGUACUUUGAAACACAAAUUGCUACCAGCUACAACUAGCUUUGUAACCUCCUGGAAGGUUGGGGCUAUGCUGUACCAUGCUGCAUACCCCCUGCACACAGCCAGGCACAAAGUAGGUAUGCAAAUCGACUGCUUUUGUUUCUAAAGCCUCUCCGUGUUUGUUCAAUGGCUUUCUCUUAGGCCUUAGACCUAAGGUGAGCCCAGCAUCCUUAGGUCUCCCAGGGAUGAGCUUAAUAGCCUCCUAGGAUGCAAAGUGCCAAAUAACUGCUGAGAUGAGGUUUGAAACUCACCACCUUCGCUGGACCUCAAAGAAAAUUCGGCCUGAGGCCACCCAGCAGGCGGCUUGCCUAACUGGAGACAGACUUCCUCCAAGAGGCCUAGAAAGGCCACAGGGAUCAGUGGAUCUCCCUGGUGUGUGGUCAUUACAGAUGACCCCUUGCCCUGGGCCCUCCGCCACUGUCACUCAGCUAACUCUUGGCUUCCUUCUGGUCAGAGAGCUGAGAGUUCAAAGAGUCCUGGGCCAUUCUGUGCCGCUGCAGAAGAGACUGCAGUCCCCUGCCUGAGUCUGGGAGAGCCCCGAUUGCCACCGAGGUGGGCUCUGGUAGUCAGUCAUCUAUGAUUUAGGUCCAUACCACCUCCCUCAAAAAUGGCUGACUCAGCUCUGGGCUGCUGGCUGGACUGGUCAAGGGUCAUCGCAGAGUUAGGAGUGUGUAAAGAAAUAUCCCAGACUCGAGGCUGAGCUAGAAGCACCUUUGGGUUUAAGAGUUUAGCCUCUGGCCCACACUCUAGGGUUUCCACUCAAGGCUGACCGUCAACUGAGACCUCAGGUGGAUUAUUUGAGGCCUUUGUGCCUGGGCGCCAUCCUCUGUGAAGUAGGAGGAUAAUAGCCCUAACCAGGAGAGUUGUUUCGAGAAUUCGAUGAGAUAGGCACGUAAAACAGUCAGAACAGUGCCUGGCACACAGUAAACCCGCAGAGGUCAUUAGACGUUAUUGCUGUGGUCUGACUAGCGGAUGGACUGCUGAAGCUUGCCCUAAAAGGCUUUAAUUGACUGUUGACAUUUUGUUUCCUCCACUGGUCUCUGAGACUCCCAGGCCCUUUAUCUCUCAUGCCUGGCACAUCUCAGAGACUCGAGCAUGCGAUGAAAGGGCGAACUAACGAAUGCGUGUAGCAGGGAGAGGAUGCGUCCAAAGAAGCUUCCAGAAGCAGAGCAUAGGGUAGAGCCCUGCCGAGGAGGAGAGAACAGUAGAGGUGGAGGCUGGGAGGCCUCUCCAGGAGAUCCCAAGAUCGCCUAGCCUUGAAACGCUGAGCAGGGAACACAGUCUCCAGAGGUGAGUCUCCAGAACACAGAAACUGGCUCUUAGCAGCGAAGAGGACCACGUUGCCUGGGACUUAACUGUUCUUUGCACUGCAUGCUGUGCCCUUAAGGGGAUGGGAGGAUGGGAUGUGGGGGAGUUCACUCAGCAGCUAUGUGCACGCAUGCGGAUUUGUGUGGGAGGCACCCGUUCCCCACCUAGUGUACCCUACCUGUUUGCACACACAGUGUGUUCAUGUACUCGGACUGUGUCACAGGUAGCUGCCAAAUCCCUGGUCCCCAUGUCUCCAGCUGGUCACCCCAUCCAUUCCAGGAGUCAGAGCUGCAGGACUGAGGUCGAUAAGGACUGGCUGUCUUGUUUACAUUAGACUCUCCUUUUCCCCAGUCAAUACGUCCUUGGACGAUGCGUAUACCAUCCUCUCUAAGCCUUGUGUCUACAAGAGGGGUUCAGGGCCACAGUCCUAAAUACCUAGGAGGAGCCUAGGGAAAGCACACUGUUGUUUGUAUCUCUGUGGCUGCCACACCAGACCCCAGACCUUGCACGGAAAGGAGAGCUAAAGGCCACAGCCAUUCAUCACCAUAAAUGUGGUGGGCAAGGUUCUAACUCAGCCGCCUGGAGCACAGAGGUGAGCAAGGUUGGAGUGCGGUACCACGGCCCCCACACAGCCCCCCAGACUCCGUAAAGCUUCCCUCUAACCUGAGGAUGAAUCCCCACUUGGAACACACACGUGGUCGGGCCUGGUGGGGUAGAGCACCUACAGUUCUCCAGAAUCAUGGGGCUGGCCCCAAAGGCCACCCACCCACUGCAGGGACUGGCAACCAUGCAGGGCAAGGUAAACUACCCAAGAUUGCUCUCUGGAAUGUGGUGGCUGGGAAAGGUAACACGCAUAUUACUGCUAUGUAAACACAGUUAAACUAUUUACAAGACAGGCUUAGGCCUGGGGGCCCCAGGAAGCCCCUGCCAUGUGGGGUGUGGGACCUACCCCUCUUCCAAAGCUCUGCUGGCCACGAUGGUGAAGAAGAUGAUCCUUGGCCUUUUCUGGAAGCCACCCCACCCAGGUCCCCUUAUGGGCCGUUCAUUGGCCCAUCGCACUGUCUGUUCACAGACUAGGGCUGGGGACAAAGGUGUUUAAUAUAGAAAAGAAGUUUACUUGCAGAAGCUUGCCGUUCUAUAGGCUCAAAACACCUGAUUGGCUUUUGUGAGGGCGGCAUGGUAUAUGGUAUCCUGUUGACAUGCACUGAAGUGUGUAGAAGAGAUUAUACAGAAGUCAGAGAGACUCAGGGACCAGGCUAGCUCUUUCCAACAGCCUCUUCUCGGUGUGCACUUACUUGCUCCUUGAGACCAGCAUCAAACUGCUCGUUUUGGAGCAGUUUGCAGAAGAUGCUUUGCAAGUAAGUGCUCUGCCCCACAUUCCAAGGAGGCCUUGGGAGAGAUCUCCAUGUAGAAUGCAAAGCAAUAAACGGAGGCAGAAGCCCCGUGCUUCCCUGAGGAGCCCCUCGGGGGCUGUGUUUAGGACUGUGGCCCUGAACCCCUCUUCUAGAGGGGAGAGCCAGUCCCCUGCCCAGAGCCUCAGGUCUAAAGGGGACAAUUUUUGCCUAAGCUCAUGUCUCACCACACCCAAUCUAAGAAGCAAGGCUAGUCUUGAAGGCUCCAACAUCCAGCCCACUUUUUCUUGGGGUGACCGGACCAGAAAGUUCAAGACUAGACAUGAGCUGCCCUGAAGAGCAAAGGCCCCAAGGAUGGUUGAGCUGUGCCUGCAACUGCAGAUUCAUAACCAGGGCUGGACCCUUCUCUGUGCCCAGGACAGAUGUCAUGCUUAUCCUCUGCCUUCUCCUGGAAGUUAUCCCCUACUGGCUAAAUUCGAAAAGCUCGCCAGCUUCCCAAAGAGGUCGAAGCUGAUACAUGCUAGAGGGAUUGCUUAUGACUGAGUGAAGAUGCUACUGUUCUCUUCCCAGCCCUUCCAGGCUCUGUCUGCCUGGCUGCCCCUCCUCCAGCCUCCCGGAUUUGCUUCUGCACACGCUGGGGUCAUCCUGAGCACCGUACCCAAGCCUUUUUGAGAAGCACUGCCCACAAGACCUCCCUUUCCCUCCCAGAACCCCUGCCAGCCCAGAGUGGUUACUCUGACUGACUUAUGAUGUUCCCAGAUACUUAGUCGAUGGUCUUCUCUGAAGACCUUGCUCCUAGUUUGGUGGCCCACAAAUAUUUCCUCUAACUUCCCACUACUGGGAAGUGGGAAUUUUGGCUCUCCUACUCUGGUUAGGAAACUGAGAUUGGGGGCGAGAAUAGGUUAGCUCCCGGGGUCAGAUGGCUUGCGGUAUGGCAGGACAUUCUGAUAUCCAUGUUCUGAUUACUGCACUGCUCUGCCCAUGUGACCAUGGACACUGAGGAACAAGGUGUGUCCUCCAUCGUGCUGGGUUAGGAAAGGGUCCGAUUCAGUUCAAAGGAACCAUUUAUUACAUCGAUUGAUUUUGUGAGCUCAUGUGCACCACAUGCAUGCAAGUGCCCUUUUGGCCAGUAGAGGGCGCUGGAUUCCCUGGAACUGGAGUUACAAGUGGCUUAAACUGCCUGCUGUGGGUGCUGGGAACUGAACCUGGGUCCUCUGUCAGAGCGGUAUGUCUUCUUAAAUGCCAAACUGUCUCUCCAGCCCUGGCAUAAGCCUUCAGAUCAGUUCAGUAAACACAUAGAAAUACAACUGGGGACCCUAUAAGAUCCCCAUAGUUAGCAUUGUAGGAGACAGCCAGGUGGUCUCCCCAGGUGGCUGGAGCAGUUCUCAUCCUUCUGGCAAUGAUGGGGAAAAGAUUUUAUUUUUGUUUUUGUUGUUGUUUGUUUGUUUCUGGGACAGGAUCUUACUAUGUACCCCUAGCUGGCCUGAAAUUUGCUAUAUAAUUCAGGUUGGCCUUGAACUCAGAGACACCCUCCUGCCUCUGCCUCCUGAAUGCUGGAAUUAGGAGCUACCACACCUGUCUACACAUUUUGGUGAGUUUGUUUUUGUUUUGUCUUUGCAUUUAUUUAUUUAUUUUUUAUUUAUUGUGUGUGCACGUGUAU
rnacentral:sRNA from 1 species